CUUCGUCUGCACUGCACUAGCAUUUCAGUUGCUUGGUAUGGAUUGUAAGACACAGAAGAAGACGCAUUUAGAUGUUUUUGGAUCUUGAAUCUUGAUGCUCACAGAAAAGCAAGUCAACCAGACAGGCUCUGAAAAUUGAUGAAAUGGAACAAAUUAUUUGGACAAGACACUAGAAAAAUUCUACUCGGUCGGUUUUGAAAUCAUACCUCAAGAAACUUGCGGGAUCUUCGUCUGCACUGCACUAGCAUUUCAGGGUUUGUUGGAGGCGAACGACAUCCACAACAAUGGGAUAGCGGGGUUCGGGCGCCAACCCGACAGUGACAGUGGUGCACUGCGAGAUCCACCACGGACAGACGGGUGGCUUGUACGGGCUCGGCCAGUUCAUCGACAACCGCAUCCAUUCCCACAGCAACCCCACCGCAACGAGAUCUACAACGGCCAUCAGGGUGGCGUCUUCAUCUUGGGCGAAGGCCGCGGCUUGAUCGAGCAUAACAAUAUCUAUGUGACUCAAUGUGGAUUGUGAAGACACAGAAGGGGACGCAUUUGGAUCUUGAAUCAUGAAUGUUGAAUCUUGAUGCUCACAGAAAAGGAAGUCAACCAGACAGGCUCUGGAAAUUGAUGAAAUGGAACAAAUUAUUUGGACAAGACACUAGAAAAAUUCUACUCGGUCGGUUUUGUAAUCAUACCUCAAGAUACUUGCGAGAUCUUCGUCUGCACUGCACUAGCAUUUCAGUCGUCGCCGCCGCACCACGAUCACUCGGCGGCAUCCACAUCUAGUGGUGGUGGAUCUACAUGCAAGGAGCAUGCGCACUACCACUGGAUGUGGAUGCUGGAUGAGUUGGGCAACCUCGGCCGCUCCAGUACCAACUGCCCGACCAGGUGUUGCUAACCAUAUUCGGCUACUUGCUGUCGGUUUCAGGGCAUCAGCUCUGUUGGGGCAAACUGAGCCGCUUCGGCGAGCGGGCCAAUAAUUUCAACAUUGUUUCAAUUCCAAGUUGAUUGUUUUGAAUUAAUAUAGUCUACUGUUACAGAGAGACUAUGCCUUUUGAAAAUAUAAACGGUUACCUGAUAAGUACCUUAAUUUGUGUUAUGAAAUAUGAUUGAUAUCCAACUAUUUAAUAAAUUUCUCAAUUUGAAAGAUUCAAAUGAUAUUAUUUCGAUUAUUUACUUGCCCACCAAGUGCAGUUUUCUCGGUGAAAGCUUAAACCGAAUUGGAUCAGCUGGUGUGUUUUAAUAUCAAUUAAACUUAACAUGGAUUUAAUUCAUAUUAAGCCGACAUUUGGUUCAAACUGGUACUGUGAAAACGGCUUUUAAAUCGUUAGAAUUAUUCAAGUAAUUAGUAUGGUGAUUAUUAUCAUAGAAAAAAUAUAUCAUAAGAAGAUAACCCUAUGGUAUAGAUUGUUUAUGUUUCAUUGUGCGUUUUAAAACAGUAAAGAAAAAAGUAUCUCAGGUUUGGCUGAAAUUUGCACCAUAGAUGAAGCUUUAUCUGAGAAAUGUCUGAGCCAAAUUUGGCACCCCCAGCUACUAUACAGGGUGAGUUAUGCAGCUUCAAACGUAAAAUUUGCAAAUUUUCAAACGGUGAGGAAUUUUGCAAAUCGGAUUCCAGAUUCAUGUUCCUCUCAUCAAAGAGCAUAAGGUCACGAAGUUAGAGCGAUUUUGAUUUUUCACAAAAAAAAUUAGAUAAACCAUGGAUUUUAUGAAAAAUGCGAAUGUGCCAGAUUCGGUUGAUAUUCGAACUAUGGAAAGAGGUUGACUCAACAAGUGAUAGAUAAAUGUCUUUUAUUUUCAUUUUAUAACAUUACAAAUGAUGUGGGCGAAGUUGAGGCAAUAAGAGCCCCCCUCUUCCACUUGACCCACAAGUAUGGGUCUGUUUGUGUAAAUGGCAGAAGAUAAGAAAAGAUUCAUUGAACAAUUGACAAGUUUACUUGAUAGAAUACUUGACAAUUAUAUAGUCUAAAAUAAGAACUUAGUCAAAAAUAACAGAUUAAACUAGCUGACGUACAAACAACUCUAAAGUAAUUUUUCACUAAGUUACCAAGAGGGAUUAUUAACUAUGGAAUGAGAAAGAAAUCAAUAAAAAUGCUUACUUUCUUAAUCAGAUUUAUUAUAGUUUUUAGUAUAAAAGAUUUUUUUUUCAAAGAGCAAAGAAUAAAGAGUUAACCUGAUUUCAAAAUCUCAGUCCAAGUAAACUGAAGAUCAGUAGUAAAUUAUACAAGAAAAUUUACAAUAAUCAAAAAUAUAAUAGCUGUAAAUUCUGCUCAAAAUAAGAUCUAGUUGCACGAAAUUUGUUUAAUAACUGAUUAAAUUAUUAGAUUUUUCUGUAUUAGCUGUUAUGCUACUAUAGCGGUGACUGAGGACUCUAUAGAUUUGUUUCUAUAAGUAUUUCAGAAGAAGUUGCUGUUGUGGGCUGUACAACUCGCUUUCCUGAUAGAUUUCCCUUUAAGAAUCUGAUCUGUUUCAUUUUCAUGAUGGCCUAUGGGCUAUGUGAGAUAAUGGGAUGAUGUUCCAGUAAUUUAACCAUAACUAUUGAACGGUUCAUCAGAGCCUUAUUUUGUAGCAAACGUUGUUGUAGAAUAUAACAUUUUUCUCAUCAUCAUAUACCGUAGUUGAAAAUUUUGUCACUGCAAUUAAUAAAUUCAAACUGAGAGAUUUAAUGCUUCAAAAAAAGCAGGACCGCAUCUCUAGUAGAAUUUUCCCUAGUUUUUAUAUCUCUAACUUUUGUUAGCUUCAUAGUAGCUUUGUACGCAUGAGGACCUUUUUUGUAUAAUAUCAAAUUGACUGUUGAGUAACAAGUUCUAAUUACUAACUAAAGUCAAGAGUAAAGAGCUAUUUUAUUCGAUUUUGAAUAUAAUCAUUAUAUACCGUAGUUAGUAGUUAUAGCAUAAAGUUUACUUUAGUUCUGUUCAUAGAUAGCAUACAGCUUUUGAAUUUGCCGGUUGAUAACCUAGUUUGAAUUUGCCGGUGAGCCAACAUGAUAAUGAUGUUUCAAAACCUUUUGAAUAAUAUAGAAUGAAGAGUGAAUCUUUUUAUGAAUAAUUCUUUCAAACGUAAUAAAGACAUUAAUCUAUAGUUAUAAAAUUCCUUAUCUAUAAAAAAUCAUUUGAGAACCAUUGAAUGUCGAUAUUUUUUCCAAAUGUUUCAAUCAAAAGUACUUAUAUAUAUUCCCAACUUUUCAAUGAAUAAUGGUAUAAAUCAACUAGAAAAUAUAUUUGAAACUUUUAAAAUAAUUAUUUGAAUAUCAUAAUUCUAAUUUGAUGAUAGAUAUACUUAAUUAUUUUCUAUUAUUUUUUUGCGUUGUGUAGUGGUACGGCUGGCUACCUGCUGUUCAAGCUAAUCAGCUGUUUGAUGUUCAUUAUUUUUUUCAACUAUGAAUUGCGUUAAUAGUGCUUCCAAUAAACAGGAUAAUUUGAUACAUCAGAGAAAUAAUUUAAAUAUUUUAUUUGAACGUAUCAAUUGUUAAUACAUAAUUAUUUUUUCAUUAUUAUUUUGCGGUGUGUAGUGGUACAGCUGGUUACCAAAAUCCGUCUCCAUCGAGUUGCUUGGUAUGGAUUGUAAGACACAGAAGAAGACGCAUUUAGAUGUUUUUGGAUCUUGAAUCUUGAUGCUCACAGAAAAGCAAGUCAACCAGACAGGCUCUGAAAAUUGAUGAAAUGGAACAAAUUAUUUGGACAAGACACUAGAAAAAUUCUACUCGGUCGGUUUUGAAAUCAUACCU
rnacentral:misc_RNA from 1 species